rnacentral:sRNA from 1 species
ACCUGGGUCUGUUUAAGAGUGCCCAGUGCUUUUAAUAGCUGAGCCAUCUUUCCAGCACCAACAGAUUCAAUUUCCUAAUUUGUGGUAGUUUGUUCCACAGCAACAGAAAAUGAAUACAGGGAAUCAGAAAUAAUUUUUUUAUCAUAAAUCAAUGUUUCAUAGAGAUCUCUAGGAACAGUAUAGUCAGAACCCAACAGUAGAUAAAAAAAAGUCAGGGAUAUAAUUAGAACAAGUACUGAAGCAAGAACACACCCUUUAAAAAUGAAAAGUAGACCAUGUUGAGAAACAACAGGACCAAUUUUAGAAGGUAUGGAGGGUAUAAUCCUCUCCCCUACUGUGCUAACUCAGGGUAGAUAUCUUCGGGGUAGAGAUAUAUUCUUCUUGGAAGGCAUUUUACUCUAAAUUCAGUCUGUCAUAAAACUAGGUGUAUUAGAUGCAGGAAUCUAUGUAGGAAUUAAAAUACUCAAAUUGAAAAAAAUGGCUGCCUGAAAGAGUAAUACCUUUUUGUACAUGUUAUCCCUGAAACUGUUCUGAUUUAGCUGACUUCCUCUCCCAUUACCUUGUUCUUCACAUCCUGUUUUUGAAGCCAUCAGCCCAUUCAAUCAUCCAUGCUUCUUUAGGGUUGUGAGAAGACCUUUUUUGUUCUUUAUGUUCUACUUUUGGGAGGCCUAUAAAACAGUCCCUGAGGAGUUACCCUCCUACCUACCAGUAAUAGAGGGCAUGCUAGAUCAAAUCUGUUAUCCAUGCUAAGUAUCAGAAUGUAGUGACAGUGACAGCAUGUUUGGACAGUGUCAUAUUUGAUUAUUUUGUAUGUUUAGAAUACUGGUGAUUACACCAUGCCUGGCUCUCAGAUAACUGCUUUUUUCCUCCUUUCUUCCAGCCCGGAUCUGCUUCUGCCCUGGGGUGUCCAGGCACAUUUGCACACCAGGUAGGGCUGGAAGGAAUGAAACUUGUCCAGGCAGGUGGUUUCACAGGAUGAUGGCUGGCUUGAGUGCUAGGGAGAAAAAAACCUUCUCCAGAUGGUUUUCAAUGAAACAGGGACAAGGAAAUUUUCAAGAUGAGAUCAUCACCGAGUCCUGGAGUAUGAAACUCUAUGUCCAAGGAACUUCUCAAGUGAUACCUCAACUUGCCUGAGGUGCUAAGUGACGGUGUUGACAUGAUGGGUUUCUUAGCAUCUACUAUAAUUUGGAUCUUCGAUGUCCACUAAAGGUCUGUGUGCUAGGAUUGGUCACCAGUGGGGCCUACUGGUGUCAUUGCAGAAUGUUUUCUCAAAAGAAAUGAUAAGAUUUUUUUCUUCUAUCAUGUUGUUCUUUGGCUGUGAGAUAACAGUCCUCCUCAGCAGCUGCACUCUCACAUGGUGAUACACUAAGCUUCCACAGCCUCAGAACCGCAGAGCCAAUUAGGCCUCUUACUGAGGAGCUAUUAGCAGUGGUAAUUGCUGGAAGCAGGGUAACUUUUUUAUUGAGGCUGUGACCACUAGUGGGCUUCUUAUGCUCCAGGGGGUGGCACCACGCCCAUAAACGUAUGGGCAAUUUUAACUGUUCCUAGUGGGUUAUCAAAAACAAAAAGUAUGAGGUUGAGAGGCGAGAUGUUGGAGAGACAUGGCUGUUGAAAGGCAAAAUGAGACAUAUAUACCUUAUUUUAUUGUAUACACGUAUACAAUUAGCAAAAAAUUAAAUAGACCAUGUAUACAAUUACCAAAAAAUUAAAAAGACCAGUAUUUCACACACACUGGCAGAGUGGGAAAUGCCUUUCAUUUAUGGACACAGUAUUUGUUUAUCUUCAGCAGCUUCUGUUUACUGACUUUUCUUUUAGACACUACUAUUUCUUAUUAAAAGGGGAGCCCUCUGAAUCCUUUUGCAUUGCUUAUUUUUUUUACAAUAGAAUUUAGUCUUUCUUGUCCUUCAAUACCUCAAUCAAAUAGCAAACCUCUGUUUUGAAACAUCCUCUAAAGAGUCUUCUCUCUUACUCGUAUCCAACCAUUGAUUUUGUAUCAUGUCAUUGAAACUGUUGCCUGGUAACACAUCUGCUCCUCCCCAUUUACUGUGAAAUCCUGGAGAAAAUGACUGACAUAGAGUUUGCCACUCUCAGCUUGUCAGGAAAGAGGGUUCUGUUUAAUAAGUAUUUUGAGUGAGUACAUGAAGGACUGAACAGCUGAGGGAGAACAGAGAGAAAUUGCUUGUUUCUUUUGGUAAUUUUAGUAUAUGUCCAUGGUUCUCAAGUGGCAGAACUACCUCAGACAGAACUGCAUGGGAAGUAGAAAUCCUCAGACUUGGCCACAUUGAGAACUAUAUCAGAAGUCCCGAGAGGGAAGCCUACAUAUCUGUUGUUCAGUUAGCUUUUAUCUGUAGCUGAUCCUGACCUAUCUUUGAACAUUGCACUUCACUCAACAUAAUAUGUUGAAAGGAUCAUCUGACUGAAGCCACAGACCAUUCUUCUUUAAUAUGUUCUUGGGAAAGUCAGAUACAAUUUUAGAAAAUAAAUUUUAUCCAAUUAAA